rnacentral:rRNA from 1 species
UACGUAGGGGGCAAGCGUUAUCCGGAUUUACUGGGUGUAAAGGGAGCGUAGGCGGCUUAGUAAGUCAGAAGUGAAAGCCCGCAGCUCAACUGCGGGACUGCUUUUGAAACUGCCAGGCUAGAGUGUCGGAGAGGUAAGUGGAAUUCCUAGUGUAGCGGUGGAAUGCGUAGAUAUUAGGAGGAACAUCAGUGGCGAAGGCGACUUUCUGGACUGUAACUGACGCUGAGGCACGAAAGUGUGGGGAGCAAACAGG